UACAGAGGGUGCGAGCGUUAAUCGGAAUUACUGGGCGUAAAGCGUGCGUAGACGGCUAUCUAAGUCGGGUGUGAAAGCCCCGGGCUCAACCUGGGAAUUGCAUUCGAGACUGAAUAGCUAGGGUACGGUAGAGGGAAGCGGAAUUUCCGGUGUAGCGGUGAAAUGCGUAGAUAUCGGAAGGAACAUCAGUGGCGAAAGCGGCAUCCUGGACUGGUCCUGACGCUCAGGAGCGAAAGCGUGGGGAGCGAUCCGG
rnacentral:rRNA from 1 species